GACGAACGCUGGCGGCGUGCUUAACACAUGCAAGUCGAACGGUCUACCUUGGUAGAAGCCUUCGGGCGGAAACCGAGACUAGAUAGUGGCGGACGGGUGAGUAACACGUGGAUAACCUGUCCUCGAAUCUGGGAUAACCUGGCGAAAGUCGGGCUAAUCCCGGGUAAGCUGAGAGUGUGGCAUCACACAAUCAGAAAAGGUGGUUUUACCAUCGUUUGAGGAGGGGUCCGCGGUAGAUUAGCUAGCUGGUGAGGUAAUGGCUCACCAGGGCGACAAUCUAUAGCUGGUCUGAGAGGACGAUCAGUCACACUGGAACUGAGACACGGUCCAGACUCCUACGGGAGGCAGCAGUGGGGAAUCUUCCACAAUGGGCGCAAGCCUGAUGGAGCAACGCCGCGUGAGUGAAGAAGGUCUUCGGAUUGUAAAGCUCUGUCCUUAGGGAAGAACCGUGGGUAUAGCAAAUGAUACCCAUCUGACGGUACCUUUGGAGGAAGCACUGGCUAACUACGUGCCAGCAGCCGCGGUAAUACGUAGAGUGCAAGCGUUGUCCGGAAUUAUUGGGCGUAAAGGGUACGCAGGCGGAUAAUCAAGUCAAGCGUGAAAGGUGUCGGCUUAACCGACAGACUGCGUUUGAAACUGGUUAUCUUGAGUGUAACAGAGGAGAGUGGAAUUCCUAGUGUAGUGGUGAAAUACGUAGAUAUUAGGAAGAACACCAGUGGCGAAGGCGACUCUCUGGGUUAACACUGACGCUGANGUACGAAAGCUGGGGGAGCGAACGGGAUUAGAUACCCCGGUAGUCCCAGCCGUAAACGAUGGAUACUAGGUGUUGGAGGUUCGAAUCCUUCAGUGCCGGAGUUAACGCAUUAAGUAUCCCGCCUGGGGAUUACGGUCGCAAGACUGAAACUCAAGGAAUUGACGGGGGCCCGCACAAGCGGUGGNNCAUGUGGUUUAAUNCGAAGCAACGCNANAACCUUACCGAGAAUUGACAUCCCGUGACUACCUAUGAAAG
rnacentral:rRNA from 1 species